GUGACCCUUGGUCAGGCGGG
rnacentral:rRNA from 1 species